AAACAUAUCGCUUUAUGGUGCUUUUCUAAGUAAUUAUGGCCAGGCAUUAGAUACAAUAAGAAAAUGCCGGGCCAGCAAUACACAAUUUGCUGAAAUUGCUGGGAAUGUUAUGUGCAAACAUUUAGCAGAUUUACCAAUUAAUUUGGAAGAUCUCCUUCACAGACCAGUUGCAAGGGUUCAGAAAAAUGCAUUGGUUUUGCAUGAUCUCCAAAAUGCAUUCCAGUUAACCAUCAGAUUACCAUAGCAUCACCGAUGCUUUGAAUAUGACCCAAAAUUUCUUGGAUCAGUUCAAUAUGAUACAGACAAAAUCAAUGUUUCCAUCAAAUGACAGAGCUCAAAGAAGACUGGUUAAGA